CUUUAAGAGAGAAUGAAGACCUGAAGAAGUGACCAGAGCAGGAAGCUUUUCCACUUUUUGAACAAAGAAACAGUAAAUUUGUGAAGAAUUGACAAGACAAAGAGUUUUGGGCUAGGGGUGAGGGAACUCAACUCUGAAAGUUAAGUAACUUGGCACAGUUACAGCACAGCAGAGAAAUAUUUUGAAGGCUUCCACCUAUUCUGCAUUAAUGCAGCACCCGCUUCCAUUUCCAAAAAGGGCAAGACUACGAUUUGCAGGUGUUCCGAUGGCCUGACUGCCACAACUGGCAGAAACAGUUAUUUUGCAAAGGUGAUGACAGGUUCAAGAGGAAAACAAGAGGAAAUCUACUUCCCUCAAUCCUCUGCUAGGAUUUAAUAAGAUCCCACUGUGUUAAUAAAAUAGUGAAUUUUAUUGUAUGUGUGGGAAGCAUUGGACUGAUAAUGGCCUUGCAUCGUAAUCGGGCUCUUGGGAAGGGUCACUCUCUGCUCUUCUGACUUUACUGUCUUUCUUUUUGUUCAUAUAAGCAGCCCACGCACAACCUAUUUGUCAACUUCACAAGCCCUCAGAUGAUCUUGAUAGUUGGUGUGUC
rnacentral:lncRNA from 1 species